rnacentral:rRNA from 1 species
AUGGCGCCCAAGGUGAGCAAGGAUAAGGUGGUGAAGACCGCCGAAUCGGACACGGAGGCAAAGAAGAACACCUUGGCGGACACGCAGAAGAAAUAUGUCAUCUUCAAGCCAGUGCUCAGUGAGAGAGAUCUGGUGGAGUGGUGCGCCUACAUGUGGGGGAAGGAGACGAGAGGCCAUACUGCCCCCCAUGUGCUUCUCGGCCCCGUCAAGGGCAGCGCAGAUAAAUUCCCUUUCUUUGUUGCUUAUUUCUACUACGGCCUCUCCCUCCAUUUUCUGAUUUCUUUGAUGACAUCAUGUGCACAUAUGGUUUUCGUCUUCUUGAUUUCACGCCAAAUGGUGUGA